rnacentral:rRNA from 1 species
UUCUACAGCCAUGCUACCCUGAACAUGCCCAAUCUCCUCUGAUCUUGGAAGCUAAGCAGGGUGGGGCCUAGUUAGUUCUUGGAUGGGAGACCACCUAGGAAGACCGAGUGCUGUAGAUG